AUGCAUUGCGGAGAUGUAAUAGACCAUCAGGGCAAAUGUGACGGUGUCCUCUGGCUAUUCCGUCGCCAAUUUCUUCUGGGAAAAGAUCAGCAGCUCAACCGUGGGCGGAUUAUUAAGAACCCUGAGGAUAAAUCGUACAGACUGAGUGUUACAGAGGACUGUUCUCUGGUUAUAAAGAAGGUCACAUUUGACGACACUGGUUUCUACACCUGCUUAAAACCAGGACAAGAUGAAGAAUAUCUAGUUGAACUGAUUGUUUUCACCACAGGAAUCAUCUUUCCAGGGUCUGGAACCGAUGCUCCAUCAAAUUUACAAGGAGUCACAGCAGGGAGAAACGAGACAGCAACAGAACAAGGAGGCACAGCAGGGAGAAACGAGACAGCGACAGAACAAGCUCGUACAGAUUGUUCUGUUGUCGACUACAUCAUGUUGGUUCUGCGUGUGGCUGAACUCGUCCUAAUUACUGUGAUUACUGUUCUUCUCAUCAGAGCUCAAGGGAACCAGAGACCACCCGGAUGACGACACU
rnacentral:lncRNA from 1 species